rnacentral:tRNA from 1 species
UGAGGAUGUAGCUUAGUGGUAGAGUGCUUGUCUUGCAUGCAGUAGCCCUGGGUUCAAUUCCCAGCACUGAA